CUUUCUAAACAUUUAAUAUUGGUGAUGUCAGAAUUAUUCAGGAUGUCAUCUAUUAAGUAACAAUAAGAAAGUGUAAGUAAAUGUAAGGAUCAAGCCCAAUCAUACUGUAACCAUUAAGAAUCAAGCCACUUGUGUAAUUUUCAGCCAGGGUGUAGCAGCUGUAAAAGGUACUAAAAUAGCAAAAAGCUUCUCUAUUGUUGAGGGUUGAUGUUGAAGUAGUUAUGUUGAUGAAGAGUUGCUGUUGGAGAGAAAGUUGCAAAGAUACAGAAGAAUUGGAGAACAAGACCAGUGAGAGACUUUUGCAAGUAAAAAGGUAACACUGUCUCCAGUAUACUGAUGACACCCAGUUCUAUCUUUCCAAGCAAGAUGACAUUCCAAGCAAGAUGACAAAAUUGCAACUUAAUCUAGACAAGGUGUCUUCUUAUUCAAUGAUAAAUGUUGCUGAAAUCACCUGUCAUCAAAAUGGAGAUGUAACUCUCAAGAUGUGACCAUACAAGACAAUAGGAGCCUGCAGCUGGAAAAGAUAUCCAUCAGUACCCUCACUUUUACUGAGAUUAUGGGCACAGGACCCUGCAAAAGUGGAAAAGUGGAAAUUUGCAAAAGUUAAGUCUGCAACUGUACUUGUUUCAAUUGUUGUUCAGUGCUUUGUGAUUGUUGUUGUUGUUGUUGUUGUUGUUGUUGAUGAUGAUGAUGAUGAUGUGUGUCUUCAAGUCAUUUCUGAGUUAUGGCAACAUCAAGGUGAACCUAUCACAGGAUUUUCAGAAUGGAUUUGUUCAGAAGAUGUUUGCCUUUACUUUCCUCUGAGGCUAAUAUGAUGUGCUUUGUCCAAGGCCACUCAGUGAGUUUCUAUGGGCAAGUGGGGAUUUAAACCCUAGUCUCCAGAAUUGUAGUCCAAUACUCACAUGCUAUUGCAAAAGAUACCAAAGGUUGAAGAGGAAAACCCAAACUAUUCAAUAUGCUGGAGGAAAGGAUCAAAUGAAAAUGUUUUUCCCCCAAUUCCCAAAUGAUUUGUAGUUGCCAGAUCAUGUCAGAAAGGCUAAAUAGAUUUGCACAGUCCAGGAUUAAUGAUUCUCAAAGCAAGCUUAAACAUUACCUUGAUCUCAGGGAUAGUAUUAGCAAUCCUCAUUUUGGCACUUCUUAAAUCUAUUCAUUUAUUUAUUUCCUUUAUUGACAUGAAUAAUUCUUUCCCUCAUUCACAGCAGUGUACUUUCAAAUAGUUUCUGGGUGAACAAAUAUCACUGAGAGUUUUCCGGAAGUAUUUUCGUUACUCUCAUGCCUCCAUCCAUUGGUCAUCAGUGAUACUUUCACAAAGUCCAGUUUGGUAGCAAUGACAAACUAUUCAAAAUUACUCUAUUUCCCCAAAAAUAAGACAGUGUCUUAUAUUAAUUUUUGCUCCCAUAGAUGCACUAGGUCUUAUUUUUAGGGGAUGUCUUAUUUUUCCAUGAAGAAGAAUUCACAUUUAUUGUUGAACAAAGAAAUGAAGCUUUAUUAUAUACUGUAUAGUAGUUGUCAUCACAAACCAGUAUAAUCAGGCAAACUGUGAAUUCUAUCAAGAAUUUCUUGUCACUACCAUUAUUUCCAUGUACAAUGAUGUAUGGUACCUCUUGCAAUUUAGGCUUCACAAAGUUUCCAUGCUGAUUUCUCCCUAUUAUAGUUUCAAUG